rnacentral:rRNA from 1 species
AUUGAACGCUGGCGGCAUGCUUUACACAUGCAAGUCGAACGGUAACAGGCCGCAAGGUGCUGACGAGUGGCCAACGGGUGAGUAAUGCAUCGAAACGUGCCCAGUCGUGGGGGAUAACGCAGCGAAAGCUGUUCUAAUACCGCAUACGAUCCAUGGAUGAAAGCGGGGGACCGUAAGGCCUCGCGCGAUUGGAGCGGCCGAUGUCAGAUUAGGGAGUUGGUGGGGUAAAGGCUCACCAAGCCAACGAUCUGAAGCUGGUCUGAGAGGACGACCAGCCACACUGGGACUGAGACACGGCCCAGACUCCUACGGGAGGCAGCAGUGGGGAAUUUUGGACAAUGGGCGAAAGCCUGAUCCAGCAAUGCCGCGUGCAGGAAGAAGGCCUUCGGGUUGUAAACUGCUUUUGUACGGAACGAAAAGGUUUGGGUUAAUACCCUGGGCCGAUGACGGUACCGUAAGAAUAAGCACCGGCUAACUACGUGCCAGCAGCCGCGGUAA